rnacentral:rRNA from 1 species
UCUACAGGCCUAACACAUGCAAGUCGAGGGGCAGCAUGGUCUUAGCUUGCUAAGGCCGAUGGCGACCGGCGCACGGGUGAGUAACACGUAUCCAACCUGCCGUCUACUCUUGGACAGCCUUCUGAAAGGAAGAUUAAUACAAGAUGGCAUCAUGAGUCCGCAUGUUCACAUGAUUAAAGGUAUUCCGGUAGACGAUGGGGAUGCGUUCCAUUAGAUAGUAGGCGGGGUAACGGCCCACCUAGUCUUCGAUGGAUAGGGGUUCUGAGAGGAAGGUCCCCCACAUUGGAACUGAGACACGGUCCAAACUCCUACGGGAGGCAGCAGUGAGGAAUAUUGGUCAAUGGGCGAGAGCCUGAACCAGCCAAGUAGCGUGAAGGAUGACUGCCCUAUGGGUUGUAAACUUCUUUUAUAAAGGAAUAAAGUCGGGUAUGGAUACCCGUUUGCAUGUACUUUAUGAAUAAGGAUCGGCUAACUCCGUGCCAGCAGCCGCGGUAAUACGGAGGAUCCGAGCGUUAUCCGGAUUUAUUGGGUUUAAAGGGAGCGUAGAUGGAUGUUUAAGUCAGUUGUGAAAGUUUGCGGCUCAACCGUAAAAUUGCAGUUGAUACUGGAUAUCUUGAGUGCAGUUGAGGCAGGCGGAAUUCGUGGUGUAGCGGUGAAAUGCUUAGAUAUCACGAAGAACUCCGAUUGCGAAGGCAGCCUGCUAAGCUGCAACUGACAUUGAGGCUCGAAAGUGUGGGUAUCAAACAGGAUUAGAUACCCUGGUAGUCCACACGGUAAACGAUGAAUACUCGCUGUUUGCGAUAUACUGCAAGCGGCCAAGCGAAAGCGUUAAGUAUUCCACCUGGGGAGUACGCCGGCAACGGUGAAACUCAAAGGAAUUGACGGGGGCCCGCACAAGCGGAGGAACAUGUGGUUUAAUUCGAUGAUACGCGAGGAACCUUACCCGGGCUUAAAUUGCAGAUGAAUUACGGUGAAAGCCGUAAGCCGCAAGGCAUCUGUGAAGGUGCUGCAUGGUUGUCGUCAGCUCGUGCCGUGAGGUGUCGGCUUAAGUGCCAUAACGAGCGCAACCCUUGUUGUCAGUUACUAACAGGUUCCGCUGAGGACUCUGACAAGACUGCCAUCGUAAGAUGUGAGGAAGGUGGGGAUGACGUCAAAUCAGCACGGCCCUUACGUCCGGGGCUACACACGUGUUACAAUGGGGGGUACAGAGGGCCGCUACCACGCGAGUGGAUGCCAAUCCCCAAAACCUCUCUCAGUUCGGACUGGAGUCUGCAACCCGACUCCACGAAGCUGGAUUCGCUAGUAAUCGCGCAUCAGCCACGGCGCGGUGAAUACGUUCCCGGGCCUUGUACACACCGCCCGUCAAGCCAUGGGAGCCGGGGGUACCUGAAGUGCGUAACCGCGAGGAGCGCCCUAGGGUAAAACUGGUGACUGGGGC